UCCUACGGGAGGCAGCAGUGGGGAAUCUUAGACAAUGGGGGCAACCCUGAUCUAGCCAUGCCGCGUGAGUGAUGAAGGCCUUAGGGUUGUAAAGCUCUUUCAGCUGGGAAGAUAAUGACGGUACCAGCAGAAGAAGCCCCGGCUAACUCCGUGCCAGCAGCCGCGGUUAUACGGAGGGGGCUAGCGUUGUUCGGAAUUACUGGGCGUAAAGCGCACGUAGGCGGACUGGAAAGUUGGGGGUGAGAUCCCGGGGCUCAACCUCGAAACUGCCUUCAAAACUAUCAGUCUGGAGUUCGAGAGAGGUGAGUGGAAUUCCGAGUGUAGAGGUGAAAUUCGUAGAUAUUCGGAGGAGCACCAGUGGCGAAGGCGGCUCACUGGCUCGAUACUGACGCUGAGGUGCGAAAAGCGUGGGGAGCAAACAGGAUUAGAUACCCCUGGGUAGUCCACGCCC
rnacentral:rRNA from 1 species